GAUGAACGCUGGCGGCGUGCCUAAUACAUGCAAGUCGAGCGAACGGACGAGAAGCUUGCUUCUCUGAUGUUAGCGGCGGACGGGUGAGUAACACGUGGAUAACCUACCUAUAAGACUGGGAUAACUUCGGGAAACCGGAGCUAAUACCGGAUAAUAUUUUGAACCGCAUGGUUCAAAAGUGAAAGGCGGUCUUGCUGUCACUUAUAGAUGGAUCCGCGCUGCAUUAGCUAGUUGGUAAGGUAACGGCUUACCAAGGCAACGAUGCAUAGCCGACCUGAGAGGGUGAUCGGCCACACUGGAACUGAGACACGGUCCAGACUCCUACGGGAGGCAGCAGUAGGGAAUCUUCCGCAAUGGGCGAAAGCCUGACGGAGCAACGCCGCGUGAGUGAUGAAGGUCUUCGGAUCGUAAAACUCUGUUAUUAGGGAAGAACAUAUGUGUAAGUAACUGUGCACAUCUUGACGGUACCUAAUCAGAAAGUCACGGCUAACUACGUG
rnacentral:rRNA from 1 species